rnacentral:rRNA from 1 species
UUCAUUUGCUACCGUCAAAUACCUACACGUAGGUACCAUUCUUGGCAACAAAAGCAGUUUACAACCCAUAGGGCCGUCAUCCUGCACGCGGGAUGGCUGGUUCAGGCUUGCGCCCAUUGACCAAUAUUCCUCA